AACGAACGCUGGCGGCAUGCCUAACACAUGCAAGUCGAACGAGAUCUUCGGGUCUAGUGGCGCACGGGUGCGUAACGCGUGGGAAUCUGCCCUUUGGUUCGGAAUAACAGUUGGAAACGACUGCUAAUACCGGAUGAUGACGAAAGUCCAAAGAUUUAUCGCCAGAGGAUGAGCCCGCGUAGGAUUAGCUAGUUGGUGUGGUAAAGGCGCACCAAGGCGACGAUCCUUAGCUGGUCUGAGAGGAUGAUCAGCCACACUGGGACUGAGACACGGCCCAGAAUCGUACGGGAGGCAGCAGUGGGGAAUAUUGGACAAUGGGCGAAAGCCUGAUCCAGCAAUGCCGCGUGAGUGAUGAAGGCCUUAGGGUUGUAAAGCUCUUUUACCCGGGAUGAUAGUGACAGUACCGGGAGAAUAAGCUCCGGCUAACUCCGUGCCAGCCGCCGCGGUAACAC
rnacentral:rRNA from 1 species